UACUGAUUUGGAGGGUGUUCAUUAUCUGAAUUGAGAAUUUGGGGAUUGAUAGGUGAGUUUUGACAUUGGAGUUGUCGGUUUAAGCUUAAGUGCUGAAAUUUGGGGUUAUUGAUGCAGCUUUAAUGCUUUUGUGUUCAGAUCUUCGGAGGAAGUUGAGUUUGGACCAGAAGGUGAUAUUCCAUCUUGGUUACUGGUUUGGGACUUUGCUACACCUGAUUUGGGUUGUGAAAGGUGAAGUUAGUAUUAUAUUUGAGGAAAAAGUUAAGCUUAAGUGCUGAAUUUCGUAAGUUUUAUGGAAUUAUAGUAUUCUCGAUGUGUAGAGCCUUGGAGAAGUAUUGUUGCUGUUG
rnacentral:lncRNA from 1 species